rnacentral:rRNA from 1 species
AAAUUGAAGAGUUUGAUCAUGGCUCAGAUUGAACGCUGGCGGCAGGCCUAACACAUGCAAGUCGAACGGUAACAGGAAGCAGCUUGCUGCUUCGCUGACGAGUGGCGGACGGGUGAGUAAUGUCUGGGAAGCUGCCUGAUGGAGGGGGAUAACUACUGGAAACGGUGGCUAAUACCGCAUAACGUCGCAAGACCAAAGAGGGGGACCUUCGGGCCUCUUGCCAUCAGAUGUGCCCAGAUGGGAUUAGCUAGUUGGUGAGGUAACGGCUCACCAAGGCGACGAUCCCUAGCUGGUCUGAGAGGAUGACCAGCCACACUGGAACUGAGACACGGUCCAGACUCCUACGGGAGGCAGCAGUGGGGAAUAUUGCACAAUGG